AUUAGGGCAUUUGAGCUAUGGCGUGGUGGCAUAGCAUGGUCCCGAUGGGCAUCAUUGGCGGCGCUCUCUUUCUCAUGGGCUAUCUUCCUCAUAUGGCUCAUGUCAAGACCAUGGGCAAGCCCAAGCCCGUGAGGAACGAUAAAUGGGACAAGCUCAUGGACGACAGGGAUAGGCGCAUAAUUGAGAAAGCCCAGCAGCAGGAAGCCCAAGCUGCCGCCUAGCACUGGCCAGGAAUCUUUUGUUUGUAAGAACUUUCUUGUGUUUCAUAAGAACUUCCAGCCUUUCGGUCGAGAACUAUUUCUUCUCAUUCGAUUUCCAUUUGUCCGGUGGAAAUUUCACUUUGUUCUCUUGGAUUUCUGCCUGUGAAGGAUCGGUUUCUUUGUUCCAAAGAGCCCAAAAUCCUCGCCAAGUUUCGCAAGUCUUUGAACACCUUGGUCUCGACUUGCAUGGUCUUGGUGAAAAAAUACUGCCAGCUCAAGUACGCGGCCACAAGGCUGCUGAAAGUAGCGGCCCCGACGAGCAUGUUCAUCACCACCAUCUGGAGACGCACAGCUUCCAGCGGCGACGCGCCACCCAUGAUAAGUCCCGUCAUCGCACCAGGCAGCGAGAUUAAUCCCACCGUUUUCGUGUUGUCCAGGACGGGACUCAAGGCCAGUAUCAAAGUUCUCUUCAUCGGUCGCUUGAUCGCCUGGCUCGGCGUUGCUCCGAGAGCUAGAGCCGUUUCAACCUGGAAGAACAAAAGGUUUUUCAUGGCGACCCCGGUGACUGUCAUGGAGUUUCCAACCAUCAUUCCACUCACCGGGAUCAUGUAGCGGGGCGUGAGUGGAAACACCCGAAGCAGCAGUAGCAGCGCGAGCGUAACACCAGUGCCGAUGAAGAUGGAGAUUCCAGCGAUGUAUGGACUUCGUGGGACGUGUCUUGCUCGUCGCCCCGCCGUGUAUCCCGCGACGAUCACCUACAAGGAGAAAGAAGAGAUCUUACCAUGAAGGUGUAAGCCACGAAGAUCCACACGGCGUUCUUCUGCUCGAAGAUGAACUGGAGGAUGAAGCCGAUGAGGGCGAGCUGGACGAAGGCUCUGG